GAUGAACGCUGGCGGCGUGCCUAAUACAUGCAAGUCGAGCGAACAGACGAGGAGCUUGCUCCUCUGACGUUAGCGGCGGACGGGUGAGUAACACGUGGAUAACCUACCUAUAAGACUGGGAUAACUUCGGGAAACCGGAGCUAAUACCGGAUAAUAUAUUGAACCGCAUGGCUCAAUAGUGAAAGACGGUUUUGCUGUCACUUAUAGAUGGAUCCGCGCCGCAUUAGCUAGUUGGUAAGGUAACGGCUUACCAAGGCAACGAUGCGUAGCCGACCUGAGAGGGUGAUCGGCCACACUGGAACUGAGACACGGUCCAGACUCCUGCGGGAGGCCGCAGUAGGGAAUCUUCCGCAAUGGGCGAGAGCCUGACGGAGCAACGCCGCGUGAGUGAUGAAGGUCUUCGGAUCGUAAAACUCUGUUAGUAGGGAAGAACAAAUGUGUAAGUAACUAUGCACGUCUUGACGGUACCUAACCAGAAAGCCACGGCUAACUACGUG
rnacentral:rRNA from 1 species